UCAAGCGAAGAAGGGCGCAGGGCGGAUGCCUUGGCACUGAGAGCCGAUGAAAGACGUGAUAAGCUGCGAUAAGCUUCGGGGAGGAGCAAAUAUCCUUUGAUCCGGAGAUCUCUGAAUGGGGAAACCCGGCUGUAUGGACUACAGUCAUCCAUAAGUGAAUCCAUAGCUUAUGGAAGGGAACCCGGGGAACUGAAACAUCUAAGUACCCGGAGGAAGAGAAAGAAACAUCGAUUCCGUAAGUAGCGGCGAGCGAACGCGGAAGAGCCCAAACCGUGAUGCGUGCAUCGCGGGGUUCGGACUGCAUAAGGGAUUCAGUAACGGCAGGAGAACGGCUUUGGAACAGCCGGCCAGAGAGGGUGAGAGCCCCGUAUCCGAAGCCAGAGCUGACCCGGCAGGAUCCAGAGUACCACGGGACACGGGAAACCCUGUGGGAACGAGCGGAGACCACUCCGUAAGGCUAAAUACUACUCAGUGACCGAUAGCGUAUAGUACUGUGAAGGAAAGGUGAAAAGAACCCCGGGAGGGGAGUGAAAGAGAACCUGAAACCCUGUGUCUACAAGCUGUGGAAGUACUUCUCAGGUACGACCGCGUACUUUUUGUAGAACGGUCCGGCGAGCUGCGGGUACUGGCAAGGUUAAGCACUUCAGGUGCGGAGCCGUAGGGAAACCAAGUCUUAAGAGGGCGUUUUAGUCAGUACGUGCAGGCCCGAAACCGGGUGACCUAUCCAUGUCCAGGUUGAAGCCGCCGUAAAAGGCGAUGGAGGACCGAACCCACAUCCGUUGAAAAGGGUGGGGAUGAGGUGUGGAUAGCGGAGAAAUUCCAAUCGAACCCGGAGAUAGCUGGUUCUCCUCGAAAUAGCUUUAGGGCUAGCCUCAUACGAGUCUUGCGGAGGUAGAGCACUGAAUUUCCUAGGGGGCGUCAAAGCUUACCGAAGAAUAUCAAACUCCGAAUGCCAUGCUGAUGCUUAUCGGGAGUCAGACUGCACGAGAUAAGUUGGGCAGUCAAAAGGGAAAGAGCCCAGACCUGCAGCUAAGGUCCCAAAGUGUGUGUUAAGUGGAAAAGGAUGUGGGAUUUCGAAGACAACUAGGAUGUUGGCUCAGAAGCAGCCACACAUUCAAAGAGUGCGUAAUAGCUCACUAGUCGAGAGGUCCUGCGCCGAAAAUGUCCGGGGCUGAAACACGACACCGAAGCUUAGGAAUACAAGUAAUUGUAUUGGUAGAGGAGCAAUCUUACCGGGAGGAAGCAGUAUUGUAAGGUAUUGUGGACUGGUAAGAAGAGAGAAUGCCGGAAUGAGUAGCGAGAUGGAGGUGGGAAUCCUCCAGGCCGAAUAUCCAAGGUUUCCAGAGUAAAGCUGAUCUGCUCUGGGUAAGUCGGGGCCUAAGGAGAGGCAGAGAUGCGUAUCCGAUGGACAGCAGGUUUAAGAUUCCUGCACCCCUUGUUAUCAGAACUGCGGGGACACGGGAAGGGAAGCAGAGCCGGGAAUGGAAAGCCCGGUGCAAGCGAAGUAGUCGCAGGGUUGGAAAAUCCGCCCUGCAUGAGACGAAGGCGUGAUGCGGAGCGAAAUGAAGUAGUGAAGCUGCGGCCCCUUCCUGUCGAGAAAAGCCGCUAUCGUGUAGCAAGGGCCCGUACCGUAAACCGACACAGGUGGAUGAGGAGAGGAUCCUAAGGCCGGCGGGAGAAGUGUUGUUAAGGAACUCGGCAAAAUGACUCCGUAACUUCGGGAGAAGGAGUGCUGCGCAAGCAGCCGCAGAGAAAUGGCCCAAGCAACUGUUUAGCAAAAACACAGGUCUAUGCGAAACCGAAAGGUGAGGUAUAUGGGCUGACGCCUGCCCGGUGCUGGAAGGUUAAGGGGAGAGGUUAGCGCAAGCGAAGCUUUGAACUUAAGCCCCAGUAAACGGCGGCCGUAACUAUAACGGUCCUAAGGUAGCGAAAUUCCUUGUCGGGUAAGUUCCGACCCGCACGAAAGGCGUAAUGAUUUGAGCACUGUCUCGACAAUGCAUCCGGUGAAAUUG
rnacentral:rRNA from 1 species